CACCCCCUUCCUUCUUCCAGCCCAGCUGCUAUAUUCACAUGUGCUGUGCAGCUAGAUCAGCUGCUUUAAAGUGCAGUUCUGCUCACUGGCACCACUUUCUGUAAGUGGGAUGGGUAAGCAAAGACAAACUAGGAGUGGCCACAUCAGCUAAAGAGAAGGAUGACUGGACACAAAAUCCAAGGCAGCACCAGCCAAUGUAACAGAGUAGCAGAUCUGAGAUGUUCACCUACUUGGUGUGGUCCAGUAGACAGAGUACUGAACUGAGAAUCAAGAGACCUAAGUUGUGUUGCCAGAUCUGCUAUUGACUCUCUGUGACGAUGGGCAAGUCAUUUAACCUCCCUAUGCCUUGGUUUCCCCAUCAGGAAAUGUGAAUAAUAAAUGUUUCCCCUUCUGUGUGAAGCAUUUUGAGAUCUACAGAUGAGGAGCACUGUAUGGAUGCAAAAUGUUAUUAUUAAAAUGUUUUCCUCUCUUGCUACUAACAUCACCCCCCAUUUUAUGUGGAUUAAGCUUGAGAGAGAGCUGCUUUUCAUCCACAUCUGCACCGCUUGCAGGCACUGAGAUCACUGUGUGAAGGGGUUGCUCACUUGUGAUGAAAAGGACUUUCAGAGCCAAUUAAAGUUCACAGACCCAACAUUUAUUCUCUGGCACAGUUGGUGCAAUUCUUUUAGUAAGGAAGGUUUUUUCAUUGUCGUUGAGCAACUGUAGCGGCAGAGAAGCCUUCCACCAUAAGAGCUAGUAAUCGUCCUGGCUCAAAACUAAUUCCUGGAGCGGGACAGAGGGAGUUAGCCUUUAUAUAAACAGUAGAUUUAAUUUUCUAAUGUAAACAACUCUCUGGGAUAAUCAAAGCAUCAAUAUUCAAUGAAACAUUAAACAACACAAGUUUACAUGUAGUAGUAUAUUCAGAUACACUGGCUGCAUUGCUGGUAUUACUGACAGUGGAUUUUUUUUUUAAGGCUUUAUUUUCUUAGUGCUCUUUCUUGCCAUUAGCAUCUUCACCCUGGUGAAAUUUGUAUAUAGGUAAUGGACACUUCACUUGCUCACACAAGGAUGUGCAAUUUUUCUU